UAAAGAUGUAAAUAAUAUGCCGGUCAAUACAACCAAUAGGUUAAAAUCCAAAGAAUUUGGCGGUAUCUUAAAUAAUCAGGGGAACCUGUACCUUUAUUUGAUAAUCCACGAAACUCAAUCUACUUCUAGAAUUUCAGCCUGUGUACUGCUGUCGCCAGUAAACCUCUAAAAGAAAGUUUACGCAAAUAAACUAUUUACUUAAAACGUCAAGUCAAAGUGCAGCUAAUGUAGUAGAGGUAUAUGGGUUACAAUUUAUAUAAAUAAAUACGAAUUACUACAAUAAAAAUAGUAUGAAGGUGAACUUGACAGUAAUAUAUAUAAAAUAAUAAUAUAAACAAGACCACAAGAUAUGCACACAUCGCCCGUCGCUCUCACUCAACUUG
rnacentral:rRNA from 1 species